rnacentral:rRNA from 1 species
GAUGAACACUAGCGGCAGGCCUAACACAUGCAAGUCGAGGGGUAGUUGUCUUCGGACAAUGAGACCGGCGCACGGGUGCGUAACGCGUAUGCAAUCUACCUUAUACUAAGGGAUAGCCCAGAGAAAUUUGGAUUAAUACCUUAUAGUUAAUAGAGUUGGCAUCGACUUUAUUAUAAAGCUUAAUUGGUAUAAGAUGAGCAUGCGUCCCAUUAGUUAGUUGGUAAGGUAACGGCUUACCAAGACGAUGAUGGGUAGGGGUCCUGAGAGGGAGAUCCCCCACACUGGUACUGAGACACGGACCAGACUCCUACGGGAGGCAGCAGUGAGGAAUAUUGGUCAAUGGGCGCAAGCCUGAACCAGCCAUGCCGCGUGCAGGAUGAAGCAUCUAUGGUGUGUAAACUGCUUUUGUACGGGAAGAAAAAAAGCUACGUGUAGCUUACUGACGGUACCGUAAGAAUAAGGAUCGGCUAACUCCGUGCCAGCCGCCGCGGUAA